GAUGAUCCUGCCCGUAGUUGCUAUCUUCCGGCGUACUCAUUGCAGGUCAUCUCCCGGCCCCGCGGAGACAGUGGUGGGUCCCCCCCCCACCACCACUGUUUGUUCAAUGUCUGUCCACAUUUCGGUGCCGUUCACGGUCCAGGCACUUACUACCACAAGGUGAGCUUGACCUUCUUUGCUACAGAAAGUUGGCCUGAGCUAGAUCGAUCCUGCCGAAUUUUAGAUUGGCUCCAGGUUAAAGAGCUGGUCUCUCGCAACCUGUGGCGGAGGUGCGGGGCCAGCUGAGGGUGGGGGUACUCGCCUCGUGACCCGGGGGUAUCCCGCACACCGGGCCAAGAUGUGUUAAGAGGAUGAGGUACCAGGAGGGUUGUCGUCCCGCCGAUCUGACUGUCGCCGCCACUACCCUCUCCCACCAAGAUCGUCUGGACUGCAAGCGCUGACAGGUGUCUCGGAGUUAUAUGCGGCGGCACAAUUUUUCUCAGAGCAGGGAAAAAAUUUAUUCCUCAUCUUCUCUCUUAGAGGCUGGAAGAAACAAUCAGAAGUGAUUGGUUCAUACCUUACAAAUUCACACCUUCUCCAAAGUGUAAAUGUUCAGAAUUUAUAUGCAUCUCAAGUUCUUUCCCAGUGAUAAGUGAAAAGAUAUGAACAUUUUUUAAUAUAUAUUCAGGAAGCUAGAGGAAGAACCAAUACGGGUUACUGAAACCACAUGUGUCCAUAAUAAUGUGUCAACAAGUGAUGUUUUCCUUCAAACAAGGAUAUUGAAAAUAAGAAUAAAAAACCCUCAUGUAGCAUUA